CACAACCUUCAGGUCUUUUGUUUAGGUUUUAUUAAUUAUUGGACGUCUAUGGCGGACGAAGAUUAUUGAAGUAACCGUGCAGGAGCAAUCGUUCUGCAAUUCAUCACCAAGCCUUUAAUUGUCAAUUUCACUUUGACCCAGUCAUGUAACAUUUCACUUGAAAUAACUUUCUGUUUAACAUUAAUUUACAACCUCCCCACUAGGGUGGCGGGGUUUGUUUUUUUUUUCCAAUUGGCCUUUUUGUUUUCUGGUUUAAGCUGCUGCGCCGUUUUACAAUUACACUAGGAAAACUAGGUCAGGAAAGCAUGUCUAAACUAUGAAUGUUCUAGCUCGAAGUUCAGCACAUGAAGAGUUAAUGUAGUUUCCUCCACUGGAGUCAGUGAGACUGGGACACACCUCCUGGAUGUAUUAACUUGUUCAGGGUGGCAAAAGUUCAGGCUUGUAAAGUCACGAUUGGCUCUCAGCAGAAAUGUGCCUCGCCCCUUAAAUACUGAUUGGUUGGGCUAGUGAACUAGAGCAACCUACUUUAUAUCACAGAUUGUCACUGAAUGAAAGAAAUUCCGUUAUCGUCAUUGGUCCUCAGCGGUAUUUAUGCAUCAUGCACCUUAUGGUGGUACUGUACAAGGUCAAAUCCUCUAAGGCCUAUAAGGACCAUAAGUGGCCCCAAAGACAGGGGAAUGAAUCAGACUGUUUCUCCUGCCCAGAGAGAGCCAGGAUGCAGAUGCAUUAUGCGGGGAGAUGGGAGACAGAGCACAGACCUGCAGAGGCCGCCACACCAGCAUAAGGGGAAACUGAGUAGUCGCUGGAGGGGUGAACUCCGAUCAAGCCCCAUAGGCCAGGGUGCUGUAUUUACAUGUGGUAAGAGUCGAGACAGUCCCUGCCUCAGAGAGUUUACAGCCUCAAUGGACAAGAGAGACAAAGGCUAGGAGAAAAGAAGAAUUAUCAUCCCCCUUUGACAUAUGAGGAAUUGAGUCACAGCCAGCUUCAGUGACUUGUAGAGUUGGUUUGAGAAAUUUCCACAGAAUCCUAUUCCUUCAGAAGAUGCGAUUCCUUUGAAAUCAAAGUCUUGCGAAAUCGGGUUGCUUUUGCCUGAAUUUUGUUUAGGAAGAAAACCAGAGGGGGAAAAAAGUUCUGACCUUGCUGAAACAUCCUGGUUUGACAUUUUCUGACUGGAACAU